UUAAAGUAAAUAUUUAUUGAUUAAAAUAUUACACAACUAUUACUUAUCAUUUAAAAAAAAUAGUAGAAUCUAAGUAUAAUUAAUUCGCCAAAAUCAAUAAUUCAAAAAAUCGAUUACAUCAUGGAGAAAACGUUUUUCUUAUAUAAGUAUGUACGAGCUUAUAAAUAUAUGUAUACAUAUAUAUUUACACACACAAGUAGUUACUCGAAUUAAAGCUUCUAAGAUCUAAAGGACCUUCAUAAAUAGGAGUAUAUCUAUAAACUGAGAAAAUAUUGCGUCUAAGGAUUAGAAGAUAUGUUAAUAUAUAUAUGUAAGUUAGUGUAUACAAUAUAUUCAUAUUUUAUUGCUAAUAUUUUCAACGUUUUUUUAAUCAUUUACCAGAAAAAGUAAAUAACUUUUGGUACAUAAUUGUAUGAAUCCUUUAUAAAUAUUACAUGGUUGUUUAUAAUCGACAAAAUUAUAUAUAUAAAUGAGGAUAUAAUAUUUGCGAUUUAAAGAAGAUUUAUGAUUUUAGUGGUUAUUAAUGGUAUUGAGUAAAUUUUUUAAAAUCAUCAAUUAAUCAAUAAAUCAAAUAUUAAUAACUAUAAUUUCUGUUUAAGACAAAUAUUCUUUAUUUGGUCAUUGCUGUGUUUGGGAAUAGUGUUGAAUGAUAAAAACCACAAUAAACCCGAGUUUGUGAUGUACUAGUUUAGCAUACCUUAUGUGAGAAUAGAAAAUUGUUAAUGAAAUUGAAAUAGAAUUCAAAAAAUUCUUCGGAAGAUUGUUUCUCUGUAUGAACAUUUAGUUUCAAACGACACCGAUAACGUCCAUUUAAAAUUUGUUUACCUAACCUUACCAAGCUUAAUUUUGUUCAAAUAACAUCCUUGAAUUUUGCAUAGUCUACAAUAGUUUAAUAUAUGCACUUUAUCAGCUUCUUAUCGUGAUUUUGGUAGAUCACCAGGAAGUGGGUAAAGCGUUAAUUCAAUCAUUUACAUUUGAGGCUUUCGGGUUCACCAACUUUUAUAGCGAGAUGAUGAUUUUUAAAAAAUCCAUUUGGGUGAAAGAACAUUAACUAAUUUGAAAAUUUUAAACAUGAAUUCAAUUUAUCAAAUACUGAACUUCAUUCGUCGAGCAAAAUAAAAUCACUUCUUUGUCAACGUACUAUGUAGAAUGGUUCAAACAAACCUGUAUUCAAAUUUAUAAUAAUAAUUUUUAUUAAAUAAAGAAGUACAUAGUGAGUUUUAGAACACUUGGGGGUUGUUUUAGAUUUUUCAUUAUUUAUAUAUGUAAUUAACAUACAUAUGUACAUGGGAAGAUAAAAGUGUAUUUUGGUAGUGUUAGCAUAAGAUCUUUUCAAAAUUUAGUAUAAAAUGGCAUUAGGGGUAGGUAUAAGUAUUUAUAAUACAUAUGUGUGUAUAUAAAAAGUCAGUAUUAGGGUGUGUAAAAUUCUGGAAUUAUGAUUUUCUAAAUUCUUUACUACAAAUCACUACAUAUUUACGAGUACAUAUUUAUAAUAAAGUAGUACAGUUAGUCAAAAGUAUGUUUUUUCUUAUUGUGCAGUCAGUUCUUUUCUUGAAUUUAAUUUUAUAGUGCUAUAUAUAUUUUUUUUGCACAUUUAUACGAAGAAAGUGCUGAACUAUUUGGUGUAUAUGGGUGAUCUAAUAUUUCUAGAGAGCGUAAUCUCGUAUAAUCCGACGCGAUUUUGUCUCCAUCAUGUUCUAGUAAUUUAUACCAUUUUCCCUGUUUUAAUACUACAUAUGUACAAUUUUAUUUACAAACCAGCUGCAAAAAAAAAUAAUAGUAAUUUUAAAAUUAUAAACGACUGUAAUAACAAUAAUCGACUAGCCACUUUUACUAUAUUUAAGACAACUCAGUGUAAUAUAUUUCUACAAAGUGCGUUCCAUUGCAUUUUAAAGAAAUUUUGUUUACAUUAUUUACAGAUCCUAAUCUCAAUUAUAAAGUUACCAAAAAAGGAACCACCAUUUUAAUAAAAUUUUUCUUAGGAUUACAUAAAAACAUAAAUUAUGACGUUAUUUCAGCCAAACAGGAUGAGAAUGCUCUAUAUAUUUAUUUAACGUAUUAUAAAGGUUGGGAAUUUUUUAAUUAAAAAGUUUUGGAUUAAAAAUAAAAUUUUAAUUUUUUAAUCCCGAUGCUGGGAUUAAAUGCGUUAAUGCAUUAUUUGCAACCCUGCGUAUAAUACCAAGGAAGAAUAGGUGAACUACAAACACUCCAGUCCCCAUAUAGUUUCAUCUUGAAUGUAAUCAGCUUAUAGAAAUUUACAAAAGAUAACUCUAAAGAGAUAUCGAAGGAAACCUUUGCAUAUCUCGUAUCACUUUCUCUCAAAAAUUAAAGCAAAUGAGAUUGAAUCGUUCAGUUGUUUUUAAAAAUAGUUUGAAUUGAUUAUUAUACGAAAUAUUUGUGGUAAAAAUUUUAAGAGAUUAAAAGUGAAUCAUGUAAAAUAUAAUAGUAGCUAAGUAUAAAAUUUUCUCUCUCAGCGUAAUUGAUUUUUGUAAAUUAAUCGGACGAUAUUCUGAACUCUAUCAUCUUGGCAAAUAUUUUGUGUACGCAACUUUAUACCUGUUAUAUAACUAAAAAAAUAAAUAAAUCUUCAAAUUAAGGAUUUUUGGUGUAAGUGUAACCUUUUUUAUAGCAGUGAUAUCUCCAUGACUAAGUUAUACACUGCAUGUUACAUAAAAUGAGAGCUACCGAUUGUGAGCAUUCGAUUCGAGCUCUUAUCCAUAAGCUUUAUAUUGUAAAGAAGAACAAAACUUUGUUAUUAUUGAACAGAGAAAAUUAGAAAAACUUGAUUCCCUAUUCAAAUCGUUAAUAUAUGUAUAUAUAAAAAAGUGAGCUAUCAAUGAUGGAGGCCUAUAUUCCGAUUUUUGGAUUGAUAUAUGCCCGCUCUAUCAUCGUGUGAGCUACUGGGAAGACAGCAAGGUUAUUAUCCGUUAUUGUUCAUAGCAUGAGAACAAAGUUUGUUUCUGAGAUACAUAUGUGUAUAGAUAAUAUACAUUAGAACGAUAUAAAAUUUAUGAAGAAUUUUAUUUACAAAAUAUACAUAUGUAAAUUUCGCCAAUCUUCCUUUUCUAAAAUGUAUUGUGUUAGAUCUCCUCUCUCUCCUAAGCUCCGACGCACACCAUAAUCGAGUGAUCUUCUUGUUUUAUUGUAGGAUUAUAGUACACCCCUAUUACGGUUUUCAACUCUGCUCAGUUGAAUUGAGGUUAAAGCAAUUUAGCUUCAGAUCAACCAAACCCUUUUCUGGUAUUACAAACUUCAACUGUUUUCAGUCGAAGAUUCGUGAGUGUUGUCAAACUAAAAAGUGAAUAUGAAUAUUUGACACAUAAAAUGUUUAUACGAAAAAUCAAAACAAUUCAAUUCAGUUAGUGCUCAUGAACGGUUGGAUAAUUAAAAAAAUGGACAUUAGUUUUGAUUUGUAUUUACGACGACAAAAAUGUUCGGGCCAAAACUGAUACGCUGCACACACUAAAUGCUUUCGGUAUCCCUCAAAUCCAUUGGAACUUCCUAACACCAAUGAUAUAUCUUCUUCACUGAUCUACACAUUUAAACGCCGAAAAAGCCAGAAAUAAUUAUAAUGAGAGUUUGGGCGCUAAUAACCCGACUUCACCAAUGUUUUACAUGAAAUACAUUAAAUCUUUUGUCUGAUAUUAAAGCAAAUUAUGCUUAAAAGAUCAUUUACACUCAAUGAUCUUAAGAGAUAAUACUAUAUAUAUGAUAUAGCUAUGAUAGCCUCGAAGAUUCACAGUGUUUUGGAAAAAUUUCAAAAUAUUGAACAAGAAAGUCGAUAAUAAUUAGUUUUAUAAUAAAGGCAUUUUGCACAUUGGAAAAAUUUUAUAUCUUACUGAGUGACCUUUUCUUAAUUUCAUAUUCAGCUAUGGCGUCCAGUGCAACGAUUAUCACCGUUUAUUUAAAUAAAUUAAAUUCUGUAAAUGUAAAUUUCUUAUUUAUCUAUUAAAUAAAAUGCUUCUUCAAAAAAACAAAAAAAUGCACUAAAAAACUCAUUUUUCCCGACGGCACUGUAAAUCACAAAUAUUUACAUACAAUGUAUCCUAUGCAUCCAAUACUGGCGAUUACGAACAAACAUUCGGGCAGCUGAGCUUAAGAUCGAAAGCAUGCAAAUGCAACAUUCUGUAUUAACAAAAUUAACGCUGGUCAUGCCUUUGAUUAGCAAGCGGCAUAGCGUCGUUUUCGCUUGGCAUUUGUCGGGUUGUCGAGAUUAUUCACACUUGCAUGCCGUGUUGACAUUCUCAUCCGCGCUGUUGUGAGAAUAUUACAAAAAUAAACAAUAUUUACAUUUAUUUUACCUACAAACUAUAUAUUUACUGAGAGGGAAAUAUGAUAUUCGUGUAAACACUAAUGACUAAAUAAAUAAAUUGCAUAUAAAAAUUCAUUUGAAGCGAUUUUUUGCAGUUAUUUUUUUACAGUUAUGCUUGUAUAUUAUACAAUACUCGUAUAUACAAAGUGUACAAAAUACGUGAUGGAAUUGAUUUAAAAUAUCGGAAAAAAAACAAGAAAACAUGUUAUUGCAACGAAGCUAUAA